rnacentral:rRNA from 1 species
CACCGAGGGUACGAUGGGUAGGGGUCCUGAGAAGGAGAUCCCCCAACCUGGUACUGAGACACGGACCAAACUCCUACGGGAGGGGCAGAGAGGAAUAUUGGAAUUGGGGGCAAACCCGAUCCACUGUGCCGCGUGGCGGAUUUUCAUCUAUGGUGUGUAAACUGCUUUUGUACAGGAAGAAACCCUCCCACGUGUGUGAGAUUGACGGUACUGAAAGAAUAAAGAUCGGCUAACUCCGUGCUGUGCGCCGGUGCACCGAGGAUCCAAGCUUAUCCGUUUCAUUGACUUUAGGGGUCCGUAGGCGCCUUAUAAGUCAGAGGUGAAAUCUCUCUGCUCAAGCGGAAAAUGGCCAUUGAUACUGUAGGGCGAGAUUUAUAGGAUGUAACUAGAAUAUGUAGUGUAGGGCUGAAAUG